rnacentral:rRNA from 1 species
UACGUAGGGGGCAAGCGUUGUUCGGAAUUACUGGGCGUAAAGGGCGCGUAGGCGGCACAGCAAGUCGGGAGUGAAAGCCCGGGGCUCAACCCCAGGAACGGCUUUCGAAACUGCUGAGCUAGAGUACAGAAGGGGCAACCGGAAUUCCCAGUGUAGCGGUGAAAUGCGUAGAUAUUGGGAAGAACACCUGAGGCGAAGGCGGGUUGCUGGGCUGAUACUGACGCUGAGGCGCGAAAGCCAGGGGAGCAAACGGG